rnacentral:snRNA from 1 species
CUCAUUUCUCAGCCUUUUAGCUAACAUCAAGUGUAGUAUCUCUUCUUACCAGUUUCACAGAGUCACAGAACAUUUAAUACCUGAUACACCUUCAGUGAGAAGACUUUAUAUUAAAUGCAUUUUUGGGUAUGGGAGUGGGACCCAGAGCUUGCUCCUUCUGCUCUGUGCAUUAUUUCUGUAUUGACAAUGCUUCCAGGAACAUCUU